rnacentral:rRNA from 2 species
GUGCUUGCAUCAUGAUUUACAUUUGAGUGAGUGGCGAACUGGUGAGUAACACGUGGGAAACCUGCCCAGAAGCGGGGGAUAACACCUGGAAACAGAUGCUAAUACCGCAUAACAACUUGGACCGCAUGGUCCGAGUUUGAAAGAUGGCUUCGGCUAUCACUUUUGGAUGGUCCCGCGGCGUAUUAGCUAGAUGGUGRGGUAACGGCUCACCAUGGCAAUGAUACGUAGCCGACCUGAGAGGGUAAUCGGCCACAUUGGGACUGAGACACGGCCCAAACUCCUACGGGAGGCAGCAGUAGGGAAUCUUCCACAAUGGACGAAAGUCUGAUGGAGCAACGCCGCGUGAGUGAAGAAGGGUUUCGGCUCGUAAAACUCUGUUGUUAAAGAAGAACAUAUCUGAGAGUAACUGUUCAGGUAUUGACGGUAUUUAACCAGAAAGCCACGGCUAACUACGUGCCAGCAGCCGCGGUAAUACGUAGGUGGCAAGCGUUGUCCGGAUUUAUUGGGCGUAAAGCGAGCGCAGGCGGUUUUUUAAGUCUGAUGUGAAAGCCUUCGGCUCAACCGAAGAAGUGCAUCGGAAACUGGGAAACUUGAGUGCAGAAGAGGACAGUGGAACUCCAUGUGUAGCGGUGAAAUGCGUAGAUAUAUGGAAGAACACCAGUGGCGAAGGCGGCUGUCUGGUCUGUAACUGACGCUGAGGCUCGAAAGUAUGGGUAGCAAACAGGAUUAGAUACC